UAAGUAAUAAAUAAGGCAGUGUGCAAACGUACAACGUGAUUCUUAUUAUCAACCCUAAACUCCAAAACAACAACUUAAGUGACUUGUGAUGGAGUCCUGCAAUAAAUCUUGGAUCUGUGCAGUUGUAUUUGUAACUCACAUAUGGGUCACCAGAUUUUCCUAAGGCUUGCUCAUAGAGAAAGAUUUGCGAAAUAACUUGUCAUCGAAUGGGUUGUAUUGGAGAGCCACCCAUAAUUUAUGCAAAUCCUUUAGGAGAAAGCAGUUCAAGGUAAACUCAUCAUCAGUGGGAAGAAUCUGGUAGUUUGAAUAAACAAGAUAUUAUUCAGGGACUAGCACUCAAGUCUCUCUUCCCAAAAGGUUACAGAAACAUUCAGUAAAGUGGCCUUCUUCGGGCUCCUUGGGUAUCAACUAUAAAAAGAGGGCUUCGAAAUUUUAAAACAAUCAAAAUUAAAAUCCUCAAGUAGUAUAUUAUCUUUCACCCAUCUUAUUUGAUAUAAAUUAUGGUUUUAAUUUAUUAUUUGUUAAUGACGUUUUGGCUGGAAAUGUUUAAAUUAAAUAUGAUAUUACUUGCAACGAUCGUCAUCAGAAUCCCUUUGAUAUAUGACUGUCUUCAUAUCUUGAGAUAUAUUAACACCAAAGUCGACCGUAAUCCUAAGAUCUCAGAGGCCAUUCCAUAAAUUGGAUAAGGCUACAUAAGCUUUUUUAGUAUUCCACAAGUUAAUUUAUAUAAAAAUGUUUGGUCCAGCUUAUAUAUCCAUGAUGAUGUCAACGGAUAAGAAGUUCCUUUUUAGAACUCUCGGAAUUCAUAGUGUAUCAGAAUGAUACAAUCCUUAACGCAUAAGCAUUUACAUCAUCAACAAUAAAGUUAUCAUUUCAUGAAAUAUAUUGAAAAAGAUGAACAAACUAUACCUAACUUUUACAUUUAUAAUA
rnacentral:lncRNA from 1 species